rnacentral:tRNA from 1 species
AAUUAUUAAGCUUUGCAUAGCAUUUGUUUUGAAAACUUAAGAAAGAUUACUAAUAUCUAAUAAUUU